CCUCCCGGCACACACAUACCCGGGAAGAAAGCUGGAGCUGUCGCUCCUCUGCCAGCCCUCGUUGUGCCUUCCCUUUGUGCGAGCCCCCGCUAGCUAAGCAUGCAGCGAAGGAGGGAGGAUGCAAAGGCGGCCCGGGGGGAAUAAGCGCUCCCGCAUGCAGCCAGGUAGGGAACGGCUCCGUCCGAGGGGGCCCGGUGGCACGGAGGCGGCUCUCACCUCCCCCCUCCCCAUGCGCUCACCUUCACGGUUUCUUCCGAGCCCUGAGAUAAAGCUACGGUUUGUCACCGUCCUCGGCAGCUAAAGAUCUCCGCACGCUCGUAGGGGGAACCGUUGUGUGCUUAUCCCGUGUUACCAACGGUAACGCUAUUAAUCGACCAACAACAACAAAAAAUCACUAAUUCCACAUCUUUAAGCAAAACUACGUUACGUAAAUAUCUACAACCAGAAAGAGAGAGAGAAAUUCAGAGCUUGAAAGAGCGAAGCGGGCCCGGGAAAGGCUGCAGGAACCGAGGAGGCUCACACAUGGCCCUCAGCGUUAGCGUGGCUCUCUUCCGCUCCCCCCGCAGCCCCGAAGCAGCUAUUAAGAGUUUAAGGACAUACUGAGAACGUCUAAAAUCGUUAAUCCGUACAGGUGCGGAUGACUACAGCCUAGGAAAAUGAUACUGGCUCUUUAAACCAUCAAGAUGUGUUUAUAGGUUCAUCAAGAGAAAUUAAAGUUGGUUGUGAGCUCCCGAAUCCUA
rnacentral:lncRNA from 7 species